GUUAUACAAUAAAUAUAAAUUAAUAUUUUUGGUUUUUAAGUUAAAUUUAUUUUAUUUAUUUGAAUUUAAUAUUUUUGUUUUUAGGUGAAAUUUAAAUUGUUAUUAAUUUUUUUUUUGAUUUCUUUAAAGUGUAUAAUAUAAACUAGGAUUAGAUACCCUACUAUAAUAUAUUUAAUUUUUGACCUGGGUAGUAAUAGUUAUGUUCUUUAAACUUAAAGAAUUUGGCGGUGUUUUAGUCUAUUUAGAGGAAUUUGCUCUUUAAUCGAUAGUCCCCGAUAUAUCUUACUUUAUUUUGUUAUCAGUAUGUAUACCGCCGUUAUAAGUUUAUUUUAAAAGAAUAUAAAUUUACUUAAUUCUUUAUUUGAAUUAUUUC
rnacentral:rRNA from 1 species